rnacentral:rRNA from 1 species
UACGUAGGGGGCUAGCGUUGUCCGGAAUUAUUGGGCGUAAAGAGCUCGUAGGCGGUCUGUUGCGUCUGCUGUGAAAACCCGGGGCUUAACCCCUGGCUUGCAGUGGAUACGGACAGACUAGAGGUAGGUAGGGGAGAAUGGAAUUCCCGGUGUAGCGGUGAAAUGCGCAGAUAUCGGGAGGAACACCGGUGGCGAAGGCGGUUCUCUGGGCCUUACCUGACGCUGAGGAGCGAAAGCGUGGGGAGCGAACAGG